AUGAACGCUGGCGGCGUGCCUUAUACAUGCCAGUCGAGCGCACAGAUGAGGAGCUUGCUCCUCUGACGUUAGCGGCGGACGGGUGAGUAACACGUGGAUAACCUACCUAUAAGACUGGGAUAACUUCGGGAAACCGGAGCUAAUACCGGAUAAUAUAUUGAACCGCAUGGUUCCAUUGUGAAAGACGGUUUUGCUGUCACCUAUAGAUGGAUCCGCGCCGCAUUAGCUAGUUGGUAAGGUAACGGCUUACCAAGGCAACGAUGCGUAGCCGACCUGAGAGGGUGAUCGGCCACACUGGAACUGAGACACGGUCCAGACUCCUACGGGAGGCAGCAGUAGGGAAUCUUCCGCAAUGGGCGAAAGCCUGACGGAGCAACGCCGCGUGAGUGAUGAAGGUCUUCGGAUCGUAAAACUCUGUUAUUAGGGAAGAACAAAUGUGUAAGUAACUAUGCACGUCUUGACGGUACCUAAUCAGAAAGCCACGGCUAACUACGUG
rnacentral:rRNA from 1 species